rnacentral:tRNA from 1 species
GGAUGUAGCUCAAUGAUAGAGAGCUUGCCUAACAUACAGAAGGCCCUGGGUUCAACCCCCAGCACUACA